GCGCCCGUAGCUCAAUUGGAUAGAGUCGCGGACUUCGAAUCCGAAGGUUGCAGGUUCAAAUCCUGCCGGGCGCACCA
rnacentral:tRNA from 1 species